rnacentral:rRNA from 1 species
GAUGAACGCUGGCGGCGUGCCUAAUACAUGCAAGUCGAGCGAACAGAUAAGGAGCUUGCUCCUUUGACGUUAGCGGCGGACGGGUGAGUAACACGUGGAUAACCUACCUAUAAGACUGGGAUAACUUCGGGAAACCGGAGCUAAUACCGGAUAACAUAUUGAACCGCAUGGUUCAAUAGUGAAAGGCGGCUUUGCUGUCACUUAUAGAUGGAUCCGCGCCGUAUUAGCUAGUUGGUAAGGUAACGGCUUACCAAGGCAACGAUACGUAGCCGACCUGAGAGGGUGAUCGGCCACACUGGAAGGUAGCCAGGGUCAAGGCUCCUACGAGAGGCAGCAGUAGGGAAGCUUCCGCAAUGGGCGAAAGCCUGACGGAGCAACGCCGCGUGAGUGAUGAAGGUGUUCGGAUCGUAAAACUCUGUUAUCAGGGAAGAACAAAUGUGUAAGUAACUGUGCACAUCUUGACGGUACCUGAUCAGAAAGCCACGGCUAACUACGUG